rnacentral:rRNA from 1 species
UACGGGGGGGGGCAAGCGUUGUUCGGAAUUACUGGGCGUAAAGGGUUCGUAGGUGGCCAACUAAGUCAGACGUGAAAUCCCUCAGCUUAACUGGGGAACUGCGUCUGAUACUGGUUGGCUUGAGUGCAGGAGAGGAACGCGGAAUUCCAGGUGUAGCGGUGAAAUGCGUAGAUAUCUGGAGGAACACCGGUGGCGAAGGCGGCGUCCUGGACCAAUACUGACACUGAGGAGCGAAAGCCAGGGGAGCAAACGGG